CAAGCUCACCACCACCCUCACAACAAAGAAAGAAUUCAACUCACCUCAACUGUAAAAAUGCAGCAAGAGUGAUGCCCAUUUGAGAUGAAAACACAGAAACCAGGGAAUCCACAGUCGUUCUCAACUCCAAGCUGGCAGAUUGAGAAGAAGUAUUCAACUAGUGUGCUUACUGGCAACUGGGUGGAAGAAAGGAGAAAGUUCACCAGAGAUACUGAGAAGGUCCCUCAGAGCAUUCACAGAAAGGAGUAUGUCCCCUUUCCAGGCCACAGGCCAGACCAGAUUUCCAGGUGGUAUGGGAAGAGGAGAGUCGAGGGCCUCCCAUACAAACACCUCAUCACCCACCACCAGGAGCCCGCGCAUCGCUAUCUGAUCAGCACCUAUGACGACCAUUACAACCGGCACAAUUAUAACCCGGACUUGCCCGCCCUCCGCACCUGGAGUAGACAGAAAUUGCUGUGGCUGCCAGAGAAGUCUGACUUCCCCCUUCUUGCUCCCCCUACAAACUAUGGGCUCUAUGAACAGCUGAAGCAGAAGUGGCUCACAUCCAAGCCUGGCCCGAGAGAAAGCAUUUAUACAUCGUCCUACCCCAGGCCACUGGUGUGCACAAUGUCCACGCGGGAAUAUGCCAUCCCGGUCCCUCCUCCUCGCCUGCAUCCUGUCCCACACUUCUGAGAACUGCAAGCCCACCAACAGCUCAGCCAGAAACACCUGGAAACUCGCAGCAUCACCGGGCUUGCCUGACAGCAAGCAGUUGCAGACAAACCCAGAAUAUUAAGUCUGGCCCACUGGAGGGUCCCUGAGAAUCAUGGGGGUCUGAGUAUCCUGUCUUUCUUCAUGACCGAAAACAUCCGUGGGACAUGCUGCUAUGUAGUAGGAAUAUUAAAACUCCACUGUAAUCUCAGAAACCACCUUCCUGUAAGACUGCAUAUCCAGCGAGCCAGCAAGAAGAAGACCUGGGAUCUACAGAUCCACUGACCAAAUGCCUCACUGGGGAUGUCAGAUUUGAACUUGAGACCUGAGGGCUCUACGUCCUUCUACUUCCUACAGGGCCCCAGCUGAACCACUGAUUGGGCAAGAGUCAGGAAGUUGUGGCUGCCAACCCUACCAGUCUUCCACUACAUACCCCACUCCAGAAUUAACUCCAUUCUUCCAGGCUCCCUUGCCGGAGAGCCCCAAGAAUAUCUUGAAUUCUUGUUCCAGAAGGAAAGAAGGCCUAUGCUUGGUCAGAUAGAAGAAUGUAGAAGGGAAACUAUUAUUAAGCAAGAGGAAGGGAAUAAGAGGUAAGGGUAGGGGUAUAAUGGUGGACAAGAGGAAGCACAGAUAUGAGCAAAAUACAUGUGCAUACUGAGCCCCUCCCAAAUAAUGUGAA